GGCUCGCUCCCCGCUUCCGCUCGCAACAUGGCGCCCGGGCCAUACCUGCCCGUCAAACCGAGGCUGCGCACGUCAGCAGCUGGGGGCGGGGCCGACCCAGCCAAUCCGCGGCAGCCGCAGCCAGGUACACAGGAAACAGCUGUCCACCUGUUAAAGCCCCAGGAACUUUUGAAUGUUCAUUUCCUGUUUGAUCAGCGUGGAGAGCUCGUCAGCACAGUUGACCAUGGAUGCUGAAGGCCUCAAAUGCACUGAAGCAUGGAGCACACAGGCAGUGGAUCUGAUUGCUGUGUGGGGAGAAGAGUGCAGGCAGAGCUCCAAACCAGCAGAAGAAACGCUGACAUCUAUGCCAAAAUCACACAGGGCAUGGGGGAGAAGGGCUAGCCCAGGGACACACAGCAGUGCCGCGUGAAAAUAAAGGCGCUUUGGCAAGCAUACCAAAAGACAAAGGAGGCAAACAGUCACUCUGGUUCUGAGCCGCAGACAUGCCGCUUCUAUGGAGGAGCUGCAUGCGGUUCUAGGUGGCGACCCCACCACUGUCCCAAAAUGCUCUGUGGAUACCUCCCAGGGGCUCUGGGUGACCUUGGGCAACAACAAGGAAGACAUUGUUGACAAGGAAGAGGAGGAGGAGAAUGCGUGGCAGGCAAGCGGAGAAUACAUUCUCCCCGACAGCCAAGAACUUUUUUUGACUCUGGAGCCCAUUCCCGCACAGGACCAGUUGGCAGCAGAGCAUGAUGCUGGGGAAGGCACCUCUGCUGAAACCUUGUCCAUAGGCGCAUCCUCCACACUGAGACAGAGACUUUCCUAGAUCAGAAGGCGGAAAAAGAAGUCUUGGGAGGAUAUGUUCAAUGAGUUAAUGCGUGCCUCCGAGAGUGACAAGAUGGAGCUCAGCGCAUGGAGGAUUACACUGUCCGACAGCCUGCACAAUGACCGCGAGGACAGAAGAGCAUGCAGGGAACAUGAGUGUGACACGCAGGAUGAGAUGGUGUGGAUUAUGAGGGAGCAAACAGACAUGUUGAGGCGUCUGGCUGAGGUUCAAGAAAGGCAACUGGAUGUUAGAGUCCCACUGCAGUCUGCACUGAACCUGCUGCCAUUGUCGCCAAGUUCCACAUCCUCCUCUCCCAGAUGUCCUAGGAUGGGGGAGGAGGGGAUUGGGGGAGUCCGGUAUCCCUUGCACUCAACUCCAGGGGAGAGUGCAAAGACCAGAAAGCGCCCAUUCCCACACCUUUGAUUGUUACUGCGGUGCAACUGUAAGCAAGCUGUCCUUGUUUCUCCCGCACUUUCCCCCAAGUUUUAUCUUACUUUUCUUUGCUGUCUCUCAGUGUUUGUGAGCAUAAUAAAAAUAAGUGGGUUGAGGAGAAAAGGCUCUUUAUUCAUUCAGCACACUGUGGUUAGUGGUGGUGUAGUGUAUAGGGGAGUACAUGCAAUGAAGGGGAUAGCUUGGUAAGGAACACACUUAAGUGUCACAUUACUGUGGGUCAUUGAUGAAACUAGUUUUCAAAGCCUCACAGAGAUGCAGUGCACCUCAAUGUGCUCGUCUUAUUGCCCUGGUGUCUGGGUGCUCAAAAUUUGCUGCCACGCUAUCUGCUUCUGCCCCCCACCCCACUGGAAACUUUUCUUCCUUUGUUUCAUAGAUAUUAUGGAGCACACAGCAGGCAGCAACAACAAUAGGGAUAUUGCUUUCACUGAGGUCUAACCUAGUAAGCA